UACCCGCAGCUCAAGUGGUGGUCAUUAUUAUUGGGCGUAAAGGGCGCGUAGGCGGCCAUGCGUGUCUUUCGUGAAAUCCCUCGGCUUAACUGAGGACGUGCGGAAGAAACUGCAAGGCUUGAGUCCGGGAGAGGGGGGUGGAAUUCCCAGUGUAGCGGUGAAAUGCGUAGAUAUUGGGAGGAACACCGGUGGCGAAGGCGGCCCCCUGGACCGGUACUGACGCUGAGGCGCGAAAGCGUGGGUAGCAAACGGG
rnacentral:rRNA from 1 species